GGGUUGUGAGGUUAAGCGACUAAGCGUACACGGUGGAUGCCCUGGCAGUCAGAGGCGAUGAAGGGCGUGCUAAUCUGCGAUAAG
rnacentral:rRNA from 5 species